AGUCGAACGGAAAGGCCCUUCGGGGUGCUCGAGUGGCGAACGGGUGAGUAACACGUGGGUGAUCUGCCCUGCACUUUGGGAUAAGCCUGGGAAACUGGGUCUAAUACCGAAUAUGAUCAUCGGCUUCAUGGUCGGUGGUGGAAAGCUUUUGCGGUGUGGGAUGGGCCCGCGGCCUAUCAGCUUGUUGGUGGGGUAAUGGCCUACCAAGGCGACGACGGGUAGCCGGCCUGAGAGGGUGACCGGCCACACUGGGACUGAGAUACGGCCCAGACUCCUACGGGAGGCAGCAGUGGGGAAUAUUGCACAAUGGGCGCAAGCCUGAUGCAGCGACGCCGCGUGAGGGAUGACGGCCUUCGGGUUGUAAACCUCUUUCAGCACAGACGAAGCGCAAGUGACGGUAUGUGCAGAAGAAGGACCGGCCAACUACGUGCCAGCAGCCGCGGUAAUACGUAGGGUCCGAGCGUUGUCCGGAAUUACUGGGCGUAAAGAGCUCGUAGGUGGUUUGUCGCGUUGUUCGUGAAAACUCACAGCUUAACUGUGGGCGUGCGGGCGAUACGGGCAGACUGGAGUACUGCAGGGGAGACUGGAAUUCCUGGUGUAGCGGUGGAAUGCGCAGAUAUCAGGAGGAACACCGGUGGCGAAGGCGGGUCUCUGGGCAGUAACUGACGCUGAGGAGCGAAAGCGUGGGGAGCGAACAGGAUUAGAUACCCUGGUAGUCCACGCCGUAAACGGUGGGUACUAGGUGUGGGUUUCCUUCCUUGGGAUCCGUGCCGUAGCUAACGCAUUAAGUACCCCGCCUGGGGAGUACGGCCGCAAGGCUAAAACUCAAAGGAAUUGACGGGGGCCCGCACAAGCGGCGGAGCAUGUGGAUUAAUUCGAUGCAACGCGAAGAACCUUACCUGGGUUUGACAUGCACAGGACGCCGGCAGAGAUGUCGGUUCCCUUGUGGCCUGUGUGCA
rnacentral:rRNA from 1 species